CCGCCCAUUUCAUUGUUCAGAAACUGCCUGCAUAACGGAUUGAUGAUUUUAAUCCGA
ensembl:ncRNA R01E6.9 ncRNA